rnacentral:sRNA from 1 species
GCCAGGAGUGGUGGCACACGCCUGCAAUCCCAGCAGCUCCGGAGGCUGAGGCAGGAGGAUCAGGAGUUCAAAGCCAGCCUCAGCAACUUAGGGAGGCUCUAAGCAACUCAGUGAGACCCUGUCUCGA